rnacentral:rRNA from 1 species
UACGAAGGGGGCUAGCGUUGUUCGGAAUCACUGGGCGUAAAGCGCACGCAGGCGGAUCGUUAAGUCGGGGGUGAAAUCCCGAGGCUCAACCUCGGAACUGCCUUCGAUACUGGCGAUCUUUGAGUCCGGGAGAGGUGAGUGGAACUCCGAGUGUAGAGGUGAAAUUCGUAGAUAUUCGGAAGAACACCAGUGGCGAAGGCGGCUCACUGGCCCGGUACUGACGCUCAGGUGCGAAAGCGGUGGGGAGCAAACAGG